CCUACGGGUGGCAGCAGUGAGGAAUAUUGGUCAAUGGGAUUACGCCUGAACCAGCCAAGUCGCGUGAGGGAAGACUGCCCUAUGGGUUGUAAACCUCUUUUGUCAGGGAGCAAUUGGCGCUACGUGUAGCGUUAUCGAGAGUACCUGAAGAAAAAGCAUCGGCUAACUCCGUGCCAGCAGCCGCGGUAAUACGGAGGAUGCGAGCGUUAUCUGGAUUGAUUGGGUUAAAAGGGUGCGGAGGCGGAAUGCCAAGUCAGCGGUAAAAUCGCGGGGCUCAACCUCGCUCCGCCGUUGAAACUGGCGUUCUUGAGUGGGCGAGAAGUAUGCGGAAUGCGUGGUGUAGCGGUGAAAUGCAUAGAUAUAACGCAGAACUCCGAUUGCGAAGGCAGCAUACCGGCGCCCAACUGACGCUGAAGCACGAAAGCGUGGGUAUCGAACAGGAUUAGAUACCCUGGUAGUC
rnacentral:rRNA from 1 species